rnacentral:lncRNA from 1 species
CUCGGAAGGAAGCAGAAACCAUCUGUUGUUUUUAUAUCCCACACUCCAGCUAGCUAACGACAAUAAUGGUGACAUUGUGACAGCAGUUUACUGUUUACAAAGUGCUUCUGUCUCAGUUCACCCUUGUGAUGACACUGCAAGGCAUGUCUGGCAACACGGAGGAUGAACACCUCUCACCCUGCCUCCCUGCUGCAUGAUCUUUGACUGUGGUCCCUCACUCGUUCCUCAGAGCAUCAGUUCAUCAGGGGGACUCAUCUGGGGCUGGCUGGUGAGGAAGAAGGGUCCCUGGUGUGCACUGAUGUUCACUGCGUGGAAAUGUGUCCCUUGGGAUGGAGAAAAGUGGAGGGGCACACUCCAUAUCAAAGCAGAACUGUCAUAGCUGCCAGUCCCGGAGAAAGCAGCAGAAAAAGCCAGGGGACCGGCCACGUUCUAUUUCCAGCCAUAAUGAGUCAUGAGAUCGUGGAAAGGCCCUUUAACCUCUCCAGCCUUAAUUUCCUCAUUUGUAAAAUAAGAACAACACUUGUCUAAGCCACCUCACAAGACAGUUGUGAAUGAUGGGAAUGGUUUCUUUCUAACGUAUGUCACGCUUGGGCAGGGCUGCCCUGGGACCUCCGGUGAGCCUGCUGCAGGAGAGAAGCCUCCCCCCACCAUGUGAACACACCCUCCCCACCCAGCCCCCACACUCCCUGGCUGGCACACACGGGACUUCAUUAUUAUUGUUGUUUUAAAAAAUGAAUUUGGCAUUUUGCAUUUGAAGAAUAAAUAACAAAUAUUCUAGCUAGUCAAAUAAACUGAAAUACAUAUUUA